CGUAAUUGCAAGUUACUGCAGAACUAGUCUACCUCCAAAUUACAAACGCUACUGCGCUUCCAGUAGUCCAAUAAAAAAGUGGUAUUCAUAAUGCAGAUGUGCAAUAAUGUAUAUUAUUAAAUGUAUCUUUAUAUGUGCUUGGGAGAUGCCGCUAAAAGUAAGAGACUAUGGACCACGAGUGCAGCAAAAUGGCUCGUAAAAGGUCGAUGGAUCAGCGCAUUCUGUCCUCAAAUGACUUUACUUUCUGUCAGCGGGAGCGCGCGAUCCAUCCCCUCCGCGUGGUUGCACUGACCACGAGCGAAGCGGCGAGGCUGCUCGCGCUCCGGUGUCGCCCUCCCACACGUAUCGCCGCCACACUGCACUACGCAGCCUCUGCUGUCCGACUGUGAGCUUCGCCCGAAAUCACACGCAAUAUGAAGUUAAAAAUAUUGAGAGGUUUCCAAUAGGAAUCGUCAUGUUCUAUUGCACUUUACUAAUUCACAUACAAUAUCAUCUAAAUGACUGGAGAGGGCACGGCAAUUGUGUGUGUUUAUCAUUUUUUUAAUUAUCAUACAGUGAAGCAUAUAAAACAAUUUAAAUUUGAAUUCCGUCUAUUUCUUGUCAUGCGUCCUGACAAUUUACCUGCAUGUACUGAAAUCUAUUUACAUUCUAAGACAACAGCAGCACAAAUGCAUACCAACAAGUGAUUUGAAUGGUUAUUGAACGUAAGCUAGUCUGACAAAACGUAUCCCGCUGCGGCUAAGACAGCACUUGUGUUGACAAGAUAUUUUAUUUCCUCGGUAGUGGUUCAAGGUUGUUGUUGUUGUUGUUUUGCAUAAAACACUAACUAAAUAUUUCGUGCCUAGGCCAAGGUCGCGAUCGGUUUUCACCGAUACGGUAUGCCAUUGGGUUUUUUUCCCUAAGAUUCAGUGUUGUAAUGGUUCCUUUACAAAGUCAUUAGUGAAGUCAUCAACUUUCUAAGUGGCCCUAAGCAGUCGACAGGGUGGCAACUAUAGGAGAGGUCCGCUAGCUUCAGAAGACCAAGCUAGGCGUGAAGCUGAAGUCGAGAAGCUGGUAGGCAUAGCUGGAAGGCUGAGUUCACGUUAUGUACUUUAUUCAGCUGGUUAAUGAGCUGUGGCUGGAGAGUUUCAGUUGACUUUCUUUGAUUUCCGAUUCUUCCAAGUUACUAUUCCUAUGAAAGUGCC